UGGGGAAUAUUGGACAAUGGGCGCAAGCCUGAUCCAGCCAUGCCGCGUGAGUGACGAAGGCCUUAGGGUUGUAAAGCUCUUUUGGUGGGGAAGAUAAUGACGGUACCCGCAGAAUAAGCUCCGGCUAACUUCGUGCCAGCAGCCGCGGUAAUACGAAGGGAGCUAGCGUUGUUCGGAAUCACUGGGCGUAAAGCGCACGUAGGUGGGCAGUUAAGUCAGGGGUGAAAGCCCGAGGCUCAACCUCGGAAUUGCCUCUGAUACUGGCUGUCUAGAGUCCGAGAGAGGUGGGUGGAAUUCCUAGUGUAGAGGUGAAAUUCGUAGAUAUUAGGAAGAACACCGGUGGCGAAGGCGGCCCACUGGCUCGGUACUGACACUGAGGUGCGAAAGCGUGGGGAGCAAACAGGAUUAGAUACCCGUGUAGUCCCUGAGCGGGCUGGCAAGGCGCAU
rnacentral:rRNA from 1 species